CAUUUACGGAGAGUUUGAUCCUGGCUCAGGACGAACGCUGGCGGCGUGCUUAACACAUGCAAGUCGAACGGUGAAGAGGAGCUUGCUCCUUGGAUCAGUGGCGAACGGGUGAGUAACACGUGAGUAACCUGCCCUUGACUCUGGGAUAAGCACUGGAAACGGUGUCUAAUACCGGAUACGAACUUCAGCCG
rnacentral:rRNA from 1 species